rnacentral:rRNA from 1 species
GUAGUUAGAAUGUGUAGUGUAGCGGUGAAAUGCAUAGAUAUUACACAGAAUACCGAUUGCGAAGGCAGAUUACUAACAAUAUACUGACGCUGAGGGACGAAAGCGUGGGUAGCGAACAGGAUUAGAUACCGUGGUAGUCCACGCCGUAAACGAUGGAUACUAGCUGUUCGACCAACAUUGGUUGGUUGAGUGGCUAAGCGAAAGUGAUA